AUUAGAGUUUGAUCAUGGCUCAGAUUGAACGCUGGCGGCAUGCCUUAACAUGCAAGUCGAACGGUAACAGCUCUUCGGAGGCUGACGAGUGGCGAACGGGUGAGUAAUACAUCGGAACGUGCCCGAUCGUGGGGGAUAACGGAGCGAAAGCUUUGCUAAUACCGCAUACGAUCUACGGAUGAAAGCAGGGGACCCUCGGGCCUUGCGCGAACGGAGCGGCCGAUGGCAGAUUAGGUAGUUGGUGGGAUAAAAGCUUACCAAGCCGACGAUCUGUAGCUGGUCUGAGAGGACGACCAGCCACACUGGGACUGAGACACGGCCCAGACUCCUACGGGAGGCAGCAGUGGGGAAUUUGGACAAUGGGCGAAAGCCUGAUCCAGCAAUGCCGCGUGCAGGAUGAAGGCCUUCGGGUUGUCAACUUUUGUACGGAACGAAAAGUCUCGGGAUAAUACCCUGGACCAUG
rnacentral:rRNA from 1 species